UCGAACAGCACAAAUAAGUAGUCCAGAUAGACAGACAGUGCCAGAAGAAGGACCAAAUGCAUUUCUGCAAGUGUUUAGAAUCCAAAGAUUAAAAGGAUUAACAUGUUAUAACCAUUAAUUUUCUAGUCAGAAAGCUAACUAUUUAAAAACCAACAUACAUUAGUGAUGCCUUAGAAGGAUGUCUAGUUUGGCUUUCACUAUCGCAGACAUUUCAUCAAAUUAUCCUUCAGAAAACAUCUUAACAAUAUAUAAUACUUGUUAAAGCAGGUGAGGAUAUGAUUCAAGAAGUUAACAUGCUGUCUAGUAGACAAGAAGCUAAUAUGUUUCCUAAUCUCAACCAAAAAAAACCUAAUAGACAGCAAUUUAAAUAUUCUAUAAAAGAAGUUAACAUGCUGCCUUCUGACACGGCAAGUUCGGCGCAAAAACUGGAGAAGUUGCCCUUUUUUCAUGCCAAUCUAACACAAUAAAGGAAUGCACAAAGGAACUAAACGAUUAUAAUAUACCAAGGAAAGUUGGUCAGCAUAAAACACAAAAAAGAAACACUGGUGGAGGAGCAUGCUCUCCUACAUUUUGUUAGACACUCUUCUGUCCAUGCUAGUAAAUACAAAAACCAUGUUGAGUUAAAUUGAUAAUCCAAACCACAGCAAAUUGCCAGGGCUGUCAUCUUCAACACUCAAGUACAAAUACUUGACUAGAAUACAUCAAUGCAUCUAAAAACCAUAUCUAAAUCUAUGUUAUCAACUAUGUACCAUUACUAUCACACUAAGCUGAUCACCAAGAUCAUAAUCUUUGAUAAUGAAUCAAUACAAUCUAGUGUUCAUACGUUAAGCAUGUAUCCAAAACAGCCAAUCAAAAUCACAGAUAAAAUCCAACUCAAACUUAGUUUCAGCUACCAUCACCCAAAAGUAGAAAACUGUAUAUGCAUGCACACCCAAACGUUAAGCAUGUACACUAAAAUGCAUAGAUUGUUAUGAAGAAAAACUGAAAACAGUAGGAAGUAACCUCAAAGAACUUCUUAUGCUCCGCUUAGGUUUCGAAUCAUCCUUGGAGAAGUACCACUGUGCAAUAGUGCCACUGAUCACAUAAACCUGAGCUUCCACCAUUGCAGUCAAAGACCACAACAUUGUCAAAAUCGCCAAUGUGUAAUAAGCAGGCACCCAGCUAUCUUGUUUCCAAACACAAGUAUACUCCCCAUUCGAUUCUUUAGCCACAAUUUUCCCAUUAAAUCUAGCAAACACCAAGAACACAACAAUUGGCGCAUAAUAGAUCGCCAAUCCAACUGUCAACAACGGUAUCACCAAAAACAAUCCUAAAUUCCUCGAAAGCGCAUCAGAAGCAACCGCAAUAAUCCUCACAGUCAACUCGAUUCGCUGCCAAUUAGACACAAUGAUCCAAACAAUAAUCCCAACUACUAAAAGAACAAAAACAAGCACCAAAAUUCUAUAAACCAAAGGGAAAGCAUCACUACAAGAAGAAGUCAAAGUACAAGCAACGAACCAAUAAACAUCGAAGAAAAUUGGCAUGAUUAUAAAGAAAGGAAGCAAGGCAUAAACGAUCUGCUUUGUGUAAUGUUUGAGUAAAAAAAGCAAAAGAAACCAAAUUGGUACACUUAAAAUCAAAGUUAUAACAAGGGUCCAUACUAAAUAAGUCCAAAGACUCGAACUUGACAACGAAACAAGUGAAAUUUCAAAAACCCAAUCAGAAUUUGAUAAAAAGGAAGAGUCUUGAACGCAAGAAGUGGAAUUAGAAUCGUAGGUGAAACUCGAAACGUUGGAGUAAUUGGUGUUCCGAUGGAAGAUUGAGAAAAUACCAAAAGCGAACGUGCAGACGACUAAGAGAACGAAGAGGAUGAGAAAAGGAAGGUCUUUGAAAGGUCUGGGUCCGUAAUUGAAAGAGAUCUGGAGGAAUUGGGUGGGGUCGGGUUCAGAAGGGUCGGGUUGAGCUAGUUCUUCGAUUGGAGGAGAUGAGUAGGUGGAGCUGGUCGUGGGCUUGGAGAGGAGAGGAGUGGUUGGUAAAGCGGCGUCAUAAAGAGAUACGGGUUUGGAGGUGUUGGUUUCUUCUUCUGUGCUGCCCAUUGCAGCAACAACUCAAAGAGAGAAAGAGCUAUGGAGAAAGAAUCAAAGAAACGUCUGUAGACCGAGAAUUCUGAUUUGAUAGAGGGACUUUCGGGACUUUUGCUUUUGUUUGUUUUACUUUUUUUGAUAUAAUUUUUUGUUAUUUUUGUUUGGGUGUGUUUUUGCUUUGUUGACUGUUUGUUCAGUUAAACCAAAUUGAGAGAGCUGGAGAAGAAGAUGGGUGGGAAGAUAGGAAUGCCACGUGGGAAUUAUUUAAAUUUCUCAAAUAAAAAAAAAAGCCGGUGAAACAGUUGUUCUUCUUCUCUGUUUUCGGAGAUUAGGAUAAGUUCGAUGACAGAGGAAUUUGAUAUUACGCAAAUGCUCAUUUAUCAUUCCAAAUUCUGAAUUUAAAGGCCCUUUUCAUUGUAUUGAGAUUGAUUUGGCAAUAUUAAUGAAUGAUGAUGAGUUUGGAAAAUGAUUUUGUAGCACAUUAACAAGCAUGAAAAUUAUAGUUGAAAAUAAAUAAUAAAUAACCAAAACAUCAAGUAAAUAAAACCCAAGAAAGACAAGCAUAAUAGAAAGGAAUACAUUCCUUGCGAUUACUUAAAAAAUUGUUAGCGUUAAUAACAGUAGCCAGAUAUGAUAGCUGAAGGAAGGGCAAGAAAAGGGCAAGCUACAAUAUUUUCAAACUGAAGCCUGUGACUCAUUGAUCUAAUUCGUGCCAGAAAUUUAUGGUGGCAAUGAUACAAGGGGAGCAAAGUAUAAAUCAAUUAUAUAGAGAACAAAAUCAGCAGAGUCAAAACGCAAAACUUUCUGUUGUUAAUAUAAACCAGGACCUUCAAUUUUCCUCAUCCCAUUUGCUCUUUGGCAUCUCUCCAGAGUCAGCAAUUAUGACCUUCUUUCUAGGUUUCCCGCUGUAAGUUCCAGCUCCACCUUCGAUCAUAUACACAAUGUCCAUGCCUUGAAUAACCUUACCGAAAACAACAUGCUCUCCAUCCAACCUGAAAAAGAACGCAAAAUGAUUAAAAGUUUGAUCAACAACUUAUUUUCAUAAUGAGGAAUUUGAGAUGUUCUAUCUCCCAUUAUCACUGGAUAAACAGACACGGAAACAUGGUGACUAAUCUUUUACAGGCAAUGUAUUUCACAUUAAUUGUCCAGAUGAUGGGCAUAGCUACAAAAACAUAUUUACAUUAGUAUCGAGAAAGCCAGCUUUGCCGGAUGAUUAAAAACAUAGAAAAAGCAUGACAUCCAGGAGGUUGAAAACGGUCUAUGAAUUAGGUCUCUAAACCCAAAACAUUUUUUUUUUUUUUUUUUUUUUUUUGUUUUACAGAAAGAUUCUUCAUCCCUCCACCUAAAUUUGAACAUGCCAUUACCAUAUAGCUUACCAGCUGGCUUUGACAGUGGUGAUAAAAAACUGGGAGCCAUUAGAAUCAGGUCCUGUAUUAGCCAUGGAAACUACACCUGCAAUAAAAUAUUAAAGAGAGAAACAACUGAAUGUUUGAAGAAAAAUUGACAAUAAAAAGGAAGAAACUAGACAACAGAGAAAACAUUAAAGCUUUUAAGCUCAGAAAGCAUUUGUGUCCAUAGAUCAUAUCUAAUUAAAACAAGACAGACAGCUAAAUAAUACAUAUAAGAAUACCUGCAUGUGAAUUUUUUAUCUUAAAAGUUCUCAUCAGGAAAGGUGCCACCAUAUAUAGACUCACUUCCCCUUCCAUCACCAUGAAAUAUAUCACCACCUUGAAUCACAAAUCCAGAUAUUAUACGAUGGAAUGGUAUUCCCUUAUAACGAAGGGCUUUCCCACUGGCACCCUUGCCUUUCUCUCCUGCAGAUGGGAAGCAAAAACUUAAGCAUAUUUUACCAUAAAAUUUUAAACUGGCUAUCAAUAGUACUGGUAGGUACAAAACUAACAAAAAGCUAAGACUGAAGUACCUGUACACAAAGCCCUGAAAUUUUCUGCAAACAACAACUGAUAGCAUUAGCCAGCCAUUCAACAAUUAAUGGAACAAGUUAGAAUAUAGUAAAAAUUGGAAAUAAUUGGAGAAAGAAACUAAUAAAUCUAAAUCAGCUUAAAAGGUGAGCUUUUCUCACACAUGACAUAUGACAAGGCUUAAAGUAGCUUGUGCAUGGCUAAUGUGCCAAUGGUUUCAAAAAACUAAUAAGUUUCUAAGCAACUAAAUCUAUUGAGACAGACGAUCAAAACAUACCAACAGUUUUUGGCACAACUUCGCCAUACAAUCCAAUGAUGAUUCUACCUGCAGAGCACAAAUUGUAGCACUUUUAAGCUAAAAAGAAACAAGUCUCAUCACUGAUCAUGUGGGAAAAAGAAGUUGUACCAACGCGCUGGCCAUCAAUAUCAACAUCCAAGUAGACUCUGUGGGUGAUUUCAUGCUCCUCUUCUACAGUCGCCUCUUCCUCCUGAGAAACAAUUAAAGGGUCAAUUACUACUAAAAAUUGUUGACUUAACCUAUCCAAAUUAACAGAAUGAGGCAAAAUCAGAUAAACAACAUCAAGGAAACUGCAAUCUCAUGCUUGUCUCAACAAAGCACAUUCAGAACCCCAAAUAAAACCCUUUUACUAGAAACUAAAAAAAAGAGUAAAUGCUCAGGUUGUAAGAGGACACUUCAAAAUAUCUUCAUUGCAUCUUUCAUGAAUAGCAUAUCUCAGAAACAAGCUUUUACCAUAACCACCCAAUUCAGAAAUAUAUCCAGAAAAAUCACUGAAUUUGAAUCAUAUCCAACAAAAUAAACAGAACAAAAAACCAAAAUGAAACGGAACCCAUCAAUCCCAUUAGAGUAUAUUGAAAACCCAAAUCUGUUUUACCGUAAAAAGUGCUACUAAUGAAUAAAAUAAUCCAAAUUCAGAUCCAAAGACUACAUAUCUACACAUGUCCAGGUAUGGGGUAUUUAGAAAAGAAGAAGCGUACCCGUUUAGUACCGGAUAAAGAGAAAAUGACGAAAAUUGAGAGGACGAUGAAGAGCAGAAGGCAUCGAGGUUGUACCAAAAUCGAGAUCUCCCGACGCAUCUUUUUGUUUGUUAAUCUUUUACCCUAAUGAUUAACAAUAACACCUUAAAUUACUUUCCAUUUGAAUUACAAACACAGAACAAAGAAAUCCCAAUUUUUCUUUUUUUUUUUCAAAUAUAAUCACUCUCAGUUACCUAGCAAGAAGGGUAGAAGCCUGGAGAGUUUGCGCACCGGGCCUUAUUUUAUUAAUCAAAGGAAAACACUUUAUUUACCACAUAAUAACUAAAUAAACGUUCAACUAUUAAGAAAAAAAAAAAUCAUUAAAAUUUUUAUAUUUAUUUUAAUUUAAUCAUUUUUAUGAUUAAUAUUUAAUAUUUAUCUUCAAUCAAAAUAUUACUAAUUUUAUAUCAAGUUAUAUUGUUAAUAUAUUAUAAUAAAUAAUAAAAUUCAUGAUAACUUUAUUAUGUUUUGAUUAAUUAUUAGUUUAAUUAUGUUUUAAUUAAUAAUAAUUAAUUGAUUUGAUAUAAAAUAAAUUAUAUGAAUUUAAUUGGAGUAAUAAUAAAAUAAUAAAAAUAUAUUUAAAUUUUUUUAAAUAAUUAAAAAAAACUUUACUGUUUAAACCAAGAUUUAUUUACUAUUUAAUUUUACUGCCAUUACUAGAGUAAUAUUGAGAUUGAGAAAUGAGUUAAUGAGAAAUUUUAGACUAUUCCCGGUUGUAUUAUUGUAAAACGAUCUUCCGCAAUCCAUCAGGAGUUGGGACCAUCACCAUUUUUCAUCGGAGCCAANUAAUUUUAUAUCAAGUUAUAUUGUUAAUAUAUUAUAAUAAAUAGUGAAAUUCAUGAUAACUUUAUUAUGUUUUGAUUAAUUAUUAGUUUAAUUAUGUUUUAAUUAAUAAUAAUUAAUUGAUUUGAUAUAAAAUAAAUUAUAUGAAUUUAAUUGGAGUAAUAAUAAAAUAAUAAAAAUAUAUUUAAAUUUUUUUAAAUAAUUAAAAAAAACUUUACUGUUUAAACCAAGAUUUAUUUACUAUUUAAUUUUACUGCCAUUACUAGAGUAAUAUUGAGAUUGAGAAAUGAGUUAAUGAGAAAUUUUAGACUAUUCCCGGUUGUAUUAUUGUAAAACGAUCUUCCGCAAUCCAUCAGGAGUUGGGACCAUCACCAUUUUUCAUCGGAGCCAAGCACGUGUGGCACUUGUAAAGAAGAGAAGGAGAAUCUAAAUGAGCCCAGUCUCAUUUAUAGAUAGGCCUGGGCUGAGAUUCAUAUAUUAUUACGAUUAGACCCAAUGGGCUAAAUGAGCUUCUACAGUAAGCCCAACUGCUCGUAUUGGAUACAAUUGAUUCGAAAGGAUAAUAAUAACAAAUGAUAUUUUAAUGGAAACUAUCCAAGUAAAAAAUGUUGUGCUAUGUUUCUUCUUUGCCUAAAUUUGCUAAAUUUGUUGGUUUGCCUUUAUUUUUUUUUCAGGAUGAUUAAUUGGAUGUCUAUAUUUACAUAUAAUACAUAUACAAACCUAUAUUUUCCAUUUUAAAUACAAAUAAUUUUAAUGUUAAAAAUUGCAUGCUAGAAAGAAAACUAUAGUGGCCUAAAUUUACAUAAACAAAUCUUAAUAGCUUUUUGGAACAAGUGACUUUCUUCAUCCAUGUCGAGGCCAAUCUGAAUUCUCAUUUGCAUCAGCAACUUGUAAUUCUCUAUAAUAUAAGAAGCCUCGAAUCACAUUCAUCUCAAAGUCUUUUAUAAUGAACAUGUUGAGGCUCGCAAUUUGAGCUAACUGGUACCGACAGUUAUUUUGCCUAAAAGAAUCAUUACUAAUCUAGUACUUGUAUGAUCAGAAGUGUAAGUCACCGAUCACCAGUUUGUUGAUUUGAAAUAGGAUUAGACUGAAUAAGCUAUAACAUAAAAGUUUAUUCAUAAAGAGGUAACCAGUUUGUUGGUUUGAAGUAGGAUAAAGGAAACUUCCAAGACUAAAUAAGUGAUAAAAGAUAAAAGUUUGAUUUGUCUAUAGUUAAAAGAAAAAAAAAAGUUGACUUUAUCUAUAGUUUUUUUUUAUGAAUUUAAUGUAUUAUUUUAUUUUAAGUAUUUAUACACAGAUAAACAUAUAUACAUAUAUGUUACAUUAAACACAUUAAAGAAAGUGAGUCCAUAUUUUCAUUCCAUAUCCAAUAAGUAAGAGAUCUUGAAAAGUUUAUAAACGGAAGCCUUGUACAACUUACUUGUUGGUAUUAAAAAAAAUGGAUUCGAUUUAUAAACUUGUUGGUGUAAUGUUUUCCAAAUGAAAACGAGUAGAUGUUUUUCCUAAUUUUUGCAAAUCAACAUGAUUCAUGAUGAAACAUUAGUUUAAUUUUAUUUUUUUAAGCAUAUAUUAUAGCAAAAAGGGAUUCAAAAAUUCAAGGACCAUAGCAACUUGCAUUUUUUUAUUUAGUUAAGUUCGGUUUAAUUGAAUUUUUUAUUUAUUUCACAAAAACGGAAACAUUAUUAAGACUUAAUUAUUCUCAAAAUUAUUUAUAAAUAAAUGCUAGUACAAAGUGUAUGAUACUUUUUGUGGUUAAUGCAAUCUUAUUACGUCUUUUAAAUUUUGUUUUUUUUAAUUUGGAAAAAAGAGAUUUUGAAUCUUACUUUUUAAUAAAAAAAUUAUGUAUCAAUCAAUAAAUUAAAUAUUCAAAUGUAUUUUUGAACUUCGAAAAUAUAAUAAAAAAAAUCCAACUGUACUUCUUGUUUUAGGCCACACGAUUUGUACUUGUUCUGCAUUUUCCUCACAUGCUUGAAUAUUGAUGCAACACAGUUUUAAUGGUGGGGUUGCUUAUGAUUUUUUAUAAUAAAGCCUACAAAUGCAUAACUGCAGCUAGCUUGACCUUUGUUUUGGGGCAGGUGGUUUUUGCUUCUAACACCAAGAAAAAUCUCAACGACGAGGAAGACGUGUAAAAGAUUCGCUUCAUUGGGAAAGUUUCAUAUUUCAUAUAUUGAAGUGUCACAAACAAGGAGUGGUAUUCACCUGACUCAAUAAAACUACAUAACAAAGGUGUUGAAACGAUUCAACAUGAACAAUUGCAAGACAACUGAAACUCCUUUGAAUGCAAAAGAGAAAUUGUCAAUUGACUCAAGUAACAAGCUCUACAAUUCCAGUGAAUAUAGAAGUUUAAUUGGUUGCCUUCUCUAUAUAUGUUCAACUCGAUCAGAACUAAUGUUUGCUGUCAGUCACUUGUCAAGAUUCAUGCAACAACCAUGUCAAUCACAUCUUACAACAACCAAAAGGAUUUUGAGGUAUCUAAAAGGUACAGCAAGCUAUGGUGUUGCAUUCAUACAAGCUAAAACCAUUGAACUUGUAGGAUUUUCUGAUAGUAAUUGGGGAGGUAGCAUUGAUGAUGUCAAAAGUACCUCUGGAUAUGUAUUUACUCUUGGGAAUGGAGUGUUUUCAUGGAAUUCACACAAGCAAGAAUCAGUGGCACAAUCCUCAGCAGAAGCAGAGUACGUAGCAGCUGCUGCAGCCGCAAAUCAAGGGAUAUGGUUGAGAAAAAUUCUACUUGAUCUUGGAAUGCCGUUGAUGAAUCCUACCAAGGUGUUUGUUGACAACAAAUCUGCAAUAUCAAUAGCUCAAAAUCCAGUUUUCCAUGGGAGAACUAAACACAUUCAUGUAAAAUAUCAUGCCUUGAGGGAUGCACAAAAGAAAAGUGAAAUUCUUGUACAAUAUUGCUCAUCUGAUGAUCAAGCUGCUGAUAUUAUGACUAAGCCUCUUUCUAAGGUUAAGUUUGAACAUAAUCAAGAAAUACUUAUGGUAAAGAAUGCAAGCAUUAAGGAAGGGUGUUAAGAAUAAUACUUGCAUGGCUUGGUGUCCGUGUAUGUGCAGUUGCUGAUUACUUGGAUAAAGACAUGCAGUUGCUGGUUAUUUGGAUUUAGACAUGCAGUUACUUGUAGUAAAUUGUUUUUAAACUUCCUUUUAACACUUGUAAUCCAUGCCUUAAUACUUGAAUCCACGUCUUGACAAGUGUUAUGUAUGUAACUAUCUUUUUUAUGUAUAAAUAGGGGUGUUUAGUAUAAAUAAAGUGUGCCUUCAUCAGAACAAUUUCUGUUCUUCUUUAAAAUUCCUUCUCUGGUUUGUUGCUGCACGCAAAUGCAAUUAUGCAUUAGUGUGGAAAACUAUCCUUUUAAGCAUUUGAGCUAAAGAGUGCUAAUUACACUCACGAAAAACAGGUUUUAUCUUUGUUCAAUUUAUCUUGCUUUGAAUUGGUUUUUUAACAUUACUGUUAUAUAUACUUAAUUAAAAAAAGUACUGCUUACUCAAAAGUUCCAUUUUUGGACUAGCUUGUUUAUUGUUCUGUAUGACUAGAUGCUUUCAAUAGUAGUAGAAUUUUCAAAAAUUUCUAGUAAAAAUUCAUGUCAUUCCCAAGACAAUGAGUAUUUUCACUGUUGAAAAUCUCUACAAUUUCAACAAAAAUUUCUAAUUUUUCGAUUUUACUACUUACAGAUGUGCAUAUUCCUGUGCAUGGGAGGCAACAGCACAACAUGGAUGAACACGGCGGUGUUAGUAACUUGCAUCCGCAACUUCCGCCGCAACCGUGGCCCAGUAUCCGGCAUCUUGAAAGGCUAUGUCGGUCUCAGCACCGCCAUCUUCACCGACCUCUGCUCCGCACUCUUCUCCAACGACCUCAUCAUGCUCGCGGUCAUCCCCUUCGCCGUUUGCCUCACGGCCAUCUUCUUCCUCCGUGAAAUCCCCCAAACCGCCUCCGUUGCGGCAGAGAAGGAAGAAACCCGCUAUUUCGCAAUAUUUAACAUAGUAGCAGUCGUAGUCGCUGUUUAUCUUUUGGCUUACGAUUUCAUCGGUUAGACCAAUCAAGUUUUUUCGUUCGUUUUUGCGGUUAUUCUCCUUAUUUUAUUAGCUAGUCCGUUGGCAGUUUCGGUUUAUUCUUUUGUAAAGAGUUGGCGUUUGGUCGGGUUCGAAGCUGACAAGGAGCGACAGGAACCGUUGCUGAAAGAGGAAGCUACGGAGGCAAGGAAAGCGGAGAUUGUUGCAGAGGAGGAGGAGGAAGUGGCGGCUGCUGCUGUGGCGGCCGAGGUAGAGGUGGCAGUGGUGGAAAAGAGUAGGAUUUUAAAUUAAUAUUUUAAAGGCAUUAUCCACUCGUUAUAUAAACUUCUGCUGCGUGAAAGAUUCUAUAUACCAAAUAAUUAAUUCCUGUCGACAUUCCACUUUUAAGCAAGGGAUUCAAGAAAAAGAAAUUAAUUAGCAUUUAAAGUUUUGAGUUUUACUAUGGCUUCUGAUAUACGUUGAAGAAACGCCAUGAAUGUGUCACGAUUUCCAAUUUCACAUAGUAGGACCAGAAUAUGAUGAUCCGCAAAGAGCACUUUCACUGAAUCCAACUUGGUCUCUCCUCCUUUAAUUCUCCAAGUGCAGCAGUGACCCCUCAAAGUGGGAAUCCGCGUCUAAACGUGCAAUAGAGUUGGUGAGAAAUAAUAAAAGCAGCUUCAUAAUUUGUUCUUUGUAACUAGGUACAUGGCCAUGAAAGUAAGUCAGAAAUGAGAUUUGACGGAUAUAUAUAUAUAUAUGGACCUACCCCAAAAAUAUCAAAUAUUAGCAGGGUAAAGUGCCCUUUUGGCUUUGUUACGCACAAUUAUAACUUUUGGAUAAGAACCAUUGGUGUGAAUUUAAGUACAAGCCAACUCUUGCGUGCAUCAUUUGCUAACAAAGGCAAAUUCGACCUCUUGAGUAUAGGAUCCUUACCUAGUAAGUUAAAAGGAGUGAAAAUAUAAGUAAAUAAUAAAAGGGGUUUUUCCCAUUACUGAAAACAAUUGAGCUCUUUAUUGAACAAGCCUCAAAUACUGUACAAUGCAACGAUCGAAUCUGAUGGUAUGCACAAUUUGCCAAUAGGCAGUAGUAACAACCUCGUACAGAUAUCAAAUGACAAAUCAACAACAACGACAUUAUUUUUGAGUUACAGGGAUGUCUCUAUACACCAAAAGUUCUAGUAGGGAAGGAUGAUCUACUGUUCCUACUGAUUGGUAAAUGAACAUAGACCUCAUGAACCUCCUGCUUGUAGACUUCUCCUCUAUCUCUAUCAAUUGCAUAGCAGAUGUAAACAGUGUCGAUUACAUUGUCCAACACAUGGACAAAGAAACCCAGCACUAUGAUUAGUAGCACCCAUGCAAGAACAGCAACGAUGUAUGCAUUAACCCCUAGAUCGCUAACGCCAUGUAAGAUAGCACAUACCUGCAUAUACGUAUUCAAUACAGGUAAUAUAAAUAUAAGAAGAAAGAAAACAAUAACAAGCCCAGCAAAUUAUUCUAUUUAGUGAUGAGAGACUCACCACAAUGGCAUAAACUGCUGAGAGGACAAAAAUUACUCCUGCUAACAAACGAGUUGAUACAGUCUCCACAAAAACAGCAGAGAGUAGGUUUCGCUUUAGAAGCUCAUACGUCAUCCUUGCAGAUGUGCAGUAAGCUUCACCAGUUAUUGCUGCAAAGUUGAUGGUGAACUUGUUAAGAAAGUCUAUUGCUGACAGUAGGGCAUUAACACAACACCGCAGGACAAGGUUGACUAUCCCAGGAACAUCUUCUUCUCUAGCACUAUCAACAGCAGCACGCACCAGUCGAACAGCACAAAUAAGUAGUCCAGAUAGACAGACAGUGCCAGAAGAAGGACCAAAUGCAUUUCUGCAAGUGUUUAGAAUCCAAAGAUUAAAAGGAUUAACAUGUUAUAACCAUUAAUUUUCUAGUCAGAAAGCUAACUAUUUAAAAACCAACAUACAUUAGUGAUGCCUUAGAAGGAUGUCUAGUUUGGCUUUCACUAUCGCAGACAUUUCAUCAAAUUAUCCUUCGGAAAACAUCUUAACAAUAUAUAAUACUUGUUAAAGCAGGUGAGGAUAUGAUUCAAGAAGUUAACAUGCUGUCUAGUAGACAAGAAGCUAAUAUGUUUCCUAAUCUCAACCAAAAAAAACCUAAUAGACAGCAAUUUAAAUAUUCUAUAAAAGAACUUAACAUGCUGCCUUCUGACACGGCAAGUUCGGCGCAAAAACUGGAGAAGUUGCCCUUUUUUCAUGCCAAUCUAACACAACAAAGGGAUGCACAAAGGAACUAAACGGUUAUAAUAUACCAAGGAAAGUUGGUCAGCAUAAAACACAAAAAAGAAACACUGGUGGAGGAGCAUGCUCUCCUACAUAUUGUUAGACACUCUUCUGUCCAUGCUAGUAAAUACAAAAACCAUGUUGAGUUAAAUUGAUAAUCUAAACCACAGUAAAUUGCCAGGGCUGUCAUCUUCAAUACUCAAGUACAAAUACUUGACUAGAAUACAUCAAUGCAUCUAAAAACCAUAUCUAAAUCUAUGUUAUCAACUAUGUACCAUUACUAUCACACUAAGCUGAUCACCAAGAUCAUAAUCUUUGAUAAUGAAUCAAUACAAUCUAGUGUUCAUACGUUAAGCAUGUAUCCAAAACAGCCAAUCAAAAUCACAAAUAAAAUCCAACUCAAACUUAGUUUCAGCUACCAUCACCCAAAAGUAGAAAACUGUAUAUAUUAGUACACUAAAAUGCAUAGAUUGUUAUGAAGAAAAACUGAAAACAGUAGGAAGUUACCUCAAAGAACUUCUUAUACUCCGCUUAGGUUUGGAAUCAUCCUUGGAGAAGUACCACUGUGCAAUAGUGCCACUGAUCACAUAAACCUGAGCUUCCACCAUUGCAGUCAAAGACCACAACAUUGUCAAAAUCGCCAAUGUGUAAUAAGCAGGCACCCAGCUAUCUUGUUUCCAAAC
rnacentral:lncRNA from 1 species